UCAGGUGACUAUAGCGAUGAGGCCCACCUCUUCCCAUUCCGAACAGAGAAGUUAAGCUCAUCAGCGCAGAUGGUACUGCCUUUACCGGUGGGAGAGUAUGUCGUUGCCCGAU
rnacentral:rRNA from 1 species